UGGUUCGCCCACUCGCGACGUCUUGAGAAGUCCAUUGAACCUUAUCAUUUAGAGGAAGGAGAAGUCGUAACAAGGUUUCCGUAGGUGAACCUGCGGAAGGAUCAUUGU
rnacentral:rRNA from 1 species